rnacentral:rRNA from 1 species
AUUGAACGCUGGCGGAAUGCUUUACACAUGCAAGUCGAACGGCAGCACGGACUUCGGUCUGGUGGCGAGUGGCGAACGGGUGAGUAAUGUAUCGGAACGUGCCCAGUCGUGGGGGAUAACGUAGUGAAAAUUACGCUAAUACCGCAUACGAUCUAUGGAUGAAAGCGGGGGAUCGCAAGACCUCGCGCGAUUGGAGCGGCCGAUAUCAGAUUAGGUAGUUGGUGGGGUAAAGGCCGACCAAGCCAACGAUCUGUAGCUGGUCUGAGAGGACGACCCGCCACACGGGAACUGAGACACGGUCCAGACUCCUGCGGGAGGCAGCAGUGGGGAAUUUUGGGCAAUGGGCGAAAGCCUAAUCCAGCCAUUCCGCGUGCAGGAUGAAGGCCCUCGGGUUGUAAACUGCUUUUGUACAGAACGAAAAGGUUUCUACUAAUACUAGGAGCUCAUGACGGUACUGUAAGAAUAAGCACCGGCUAACUACGUGCCAGCCGCCGCGGUAA